rnacentral:rRNA from 1 species
CGAGGAGGUAGGGCUUACGCUUGCGUUUGUCUGUUAUAUCUUGGUGGACGAGUUGUCGCGGUUGGGACUGAGGUGCCUACAACGUGCUUUUGAGUGAGUUUGUGUCUCCGUGUGCGCCGUGUGCGGAUAGCUUGCUAUGUAUGUGCGGUUGUGUGUGGAUUGAUGCGGGCUUUAACUUGUCGCCGUUCGGGACGUUGGCGAAAUGGAGCGAUCCGACCCGUCUUGAAACACGGACCAAGGAGUCUAACAUGUGUGCAAGUGUUAGGGUGUGGAAACCCCAGCGCGAAAUGAAAGUGAAGGGCAGCGCAAGUUGUCUGAGGUAGGAAACGUUGUGGACUUCGGUCUGCGGCGUGGCACUAUCGACCGAUCAUGAACCUUCGUGGUGAAAGAUUUGAGUUUGAGCACAUAUGUUGGUACCCGAAAGAUGGUGAACUAUGCCUGAGUAGGGUGAAGCCAGGGGAAACUCUGGUGGAAGCUCGUAGCGAUUCUGACGUGCAAAUCGAUCGUCAAACUUGGGUAUAGGGGCGAAAGACUAAUCGAACCAUCUAGUAGCUGGUUCCCUCCGAAAUUUCCCUCAGGAUAGCAGCAACUUAUUUACGAUAGUUUUAUGAGGUAAAGCGAAUGAUUAGAGGAUUCGGGGAAGAAACUUCCUCGACCUAUUCUCAAACUUUAAAUCUGUAAGACCUGCAGGUUUCUUAAU